rnacentral:rRNA from 1 species
CGCGGUAAUUCCAGCUCCAAUAGCGUAUAUUAAAGUUGUUGCAGUUAAAAAGCUCGUAGUCGGAUUUUGGCAUCACGCCGAACUGUCUGCCGAUUGGUAAGUACGGUUUGGCGGGUGCUUCCUUCCGGAGGCUCGUUCCCUUCUUCAUUGAAGGGUUCGUUGGUUCCGGGUCUUUUACUUUGAGAAAAUUAGAGUGUUCAAAGCAGGCCUAUGCUCUGAAUAGGUUAGCAUGGAAUAAUAGAAUAGGACUUUGGUUCUAUUUUGUUGGUUUCUAGGACCGAAGUAAUGAUUAAUAGGGACAGUUGGGGGCAUUCAUAUUCCAUUGUCAGAGGUGAAAUUCUUGGAUUAACGGAAGAUGAACUUCUGCGAAAGCAUCUGCCAAGGAUGUUUUCAUUGAUCAAGAACGAAAGUUAGGGGAUCGAAGACGAUCAGAUACCGUCGUAGUCUUAACCAUAAACUAUGCCGACUAGGGAUGUGGAGGCGUUAACUUUGUACGACCCUUCAUGCACCUUAUGAGAAAUCAAAGUCUAUGGGUUCCGGGGGGAGUAUGGUCGCAAGGCUGAAACUUAAAGGAAUUGACGGAAGGGCACCACCAGGAGUGGAGCCUGUGGCUUAAUUUGACUCAACACGGGAAAUCUCACCAGGCCCGGACACUGGAAGGAUUGACGGAUUGAUAGCUCUUUCUUGAUUCGGUGGGUGGUGGUGCAUGGGCCGUUCUUAGUUGGUGGAGUGAUUUGUCUGGUUAAUUCCGAUAACGAACGAGACUCUGUCCUGCUAAAUAGUUUCUACUUCUCUUUUGAGUAGAAAUUUCUUCUUAGAGGGACUGGUGACUCUUAGUCACACGAGAUUGAGCAAUAACAGGUCUGUG